rnacentral:rRNA from 1 species
ACGUGGAUUAAUGCCUGAUAGUCUCUACGGAGUAAAUGGUGCCUUCGGGUAUCGCUAGAGGAUGGGCUCGCGGCCUAUCAGCUUGUUGGUGAGGUAAAGGCUCACCAAGGCGACGACGGGUAGCUGGUCUGAGAGGACGAUCAGCAACACUGGAACUGAGACACGGUCCAGACACCUACGGGUGGCAGCAGUCGAGAAUCAUUCACAAUGGAGGCAACUCUGAUGGUGCAACGCCGCGUGGAGGAUGACGGUCCUAGGAUUGUAAACUCCUG